rnacentral:tRNA from 1 species
UCAGUGGUGGUUCAGUGGUAGAACACUUGCCUUCCGUGCGGGAGACCUGGGCUCGAUUCCCAGCCAAUGUA